CUGAAGACCCUAGUCUCUUCCAGGUGCAUCUCAGGGACGCAAGAAAUAGAAUUUUGCAAGCCUUCAGGAAACUUAACGGCAAGUGAACUUCACACUCCACAAUUCCGUGAUCUUUUUCAGUCCGAUCCUUUUGUGCUGGCUUCUCCAUUUCCCCCCGCUUGAUCUCUUCACAGUUCUGUCCCAGAGCCCACCACACUCAGGUGAAGCCAGCUCUUCCUGCAGAAGUCAGGUCAGUAAGACCAGCUGUGUUCCAAAAACAUUUCUCUGGAAUUGGCGGGAAAGGGCCGGGGACAAACUAAUGAGUCCAGAUUGCUUUUCACAGACCAGCAGAAGGAACUUCCAGGCCCAUGAAUUCACACUUCAGAGGGACAAACAAAAAGGUGAGCAUAAAGGCAGAGUUUGAAGACUGGAACCAGUCUCUCUGUUCUGCCCUGCAAAUUAAUGGCAGUCAACAUGGCACUCUGUGACUUAAACACAUCAAGGUGAAUAUCCCUUGCUAAUGGCAAGGGAUAAAACCUCGAUUGUGUUCUGUCUGCAACUUCAUAAUUCUUAAGGGUUUUCUUUUUUCCUGAGAGAACAUUCUAUAUUCAGAGUGUUCUCUCAGGUUUUGCUUUUCACCUUGUUGCAUUGGCCAAAAAAAAGCAAAAGACGCUGGUGGUUGGCGCUCCUGGUUUCCAGGACGGGGUUCAAGCCCCUGCGGUGUCCCUGCUUACUUCCAAUGCAACCUCUCUCUCUCUCUUUAUCUAUCUUUCCCCUUAAGAACUAAAUGAAGCAAAGUGCUCCUGUGAUGCAUCACUGGUGUGUGUCUAAGACAAGGUGGAUUACAUGGAUGCUUCCCAUCCUAGCACUCCUUGUCAUAUGGAGCAAAAUACUUUAUGCAUAUAUAUAAAGUUAUAUAGGCAAUGGCCUUGCUAUGGUCGCCUUGGUUGUCCGAGGGGCCAGGUAGGAAUUUUUCCACUUGGCAAAUUGGCACUGGCCACUUGGUUUUCGCCUACCUCGUAGCAAUCGUCACAACUUUGUUAGGGUUGCGGUUAGGCAUUGAUUGACCUUGUGUGGGGGAGGGGACAUGUGGCCAUCACCUGCCCCUCCAAGCUUAAGGGUAUUCCGUUAAAGGAAUCCGCGGGUGUUGAUCUUGUCCGAAGCCCGGCUGGGGGCUGGG